AUUGAACGCUGGCGGAAUGCUUUACACAUGCAAGUCGAGCGGCAGCACGGGGGCAACCCUGGUGGCGAGCGGCGAACGGGUGAGUAACACAUCGGAACAUGCCCAGUCGUGGGGGAUAACACUUCGAAAGAAGUUCUAAUACCGCAUACGUCCUGAGGGAGAAAGCGGGGGAUCUUCGGACCUCGCGCGCUUCGAGUGGCCGAUGUCAGAUUAGCUAGUUGGUGGGGUAAAGGCCUACCAAGGCAACGAUCUGUAGCUGGUCUGAGAGGAUGAUCAGCCACACUGGGACUGAGACACGGCCCAGACUCCUACGGGAGGCAGCAGUGGGGAAUUUUGGACAAUGGGGGCAACCCUGAUCCAGCCAUUCCGCGUGAGUGAAGAAGGCCUUCGGGUUGUAAAGCUCUUUCGGCAGGAACGAAACGGCGAGCUCUAACAUAGCUUGCUAAUGACGGUACCUGAAGAAGAAGCACCGGCUAACUACGUGCCAGCAGCCGCAGUAAAAC
rnacentral:rRNA from 1 species